rnacentral:rRNA from 1 species
CCCUUAGAUGUCCUGGGCCGCACGCGCGUUACACUGAUGCAUUCAACGAGCUUAUAACCUUGGCCGAGAGGCCUGGGCAAUCUUGUUAACGUGCAUCGUGAUAGGGAUAGAUUAUUGAAAUUAUUAAUCUUGAACGAGGAAUUCCUAGUAAACGCAGAUCAUCAAUCUGCAUUGAUUACGUCCCUGCCCUUUGUACACACCGCCCGUCGCACCUACCGAUUGGGUGAUCCGGUGAGCUGUUCGGCCAUAGCAAUGUUUCUUGAGCAGGGCAAUGAAUGUUUCGCAAACCUUGCCACUUAGAGGAAGGAGAAGUCGUAACA